rnacentral:rRNA from 1 species
CAGCAGCCGCGGUAAUACAGAGGGUGCGAGCGUUAAUCGGAUUUACUGGGCGUAAAGCGUGCGUAGGCAGCUUCUUAAGUCGGAUGUGAAAUCCCUGAGCUUAACUUAGGAAUUGCAUUCGAUACUGGGAAGCUAGAGUAUGGGAGAGGAUGGUAGAAUUCCAGGUGUAGCGGUGAAAUGCGUAGAGAUCUGGAGGAAUACCGAUGGCGAAGGCAGCCAUCUGGCCUAAUACUGACGCUGAGGUACGAAAGCAUGGGGAGCAAACAGGAUUAGAGACCCGUGUAGUCCCUGUCUCUUAUAA